rnacentral:rRNA from 1 species
UACGAAGGGGGCUAGCGUUGCUCGGAAUUACUGGGCGUAAAGCGCGCGUAGGCGGGUCGUUAAGUCGGGGGUGAAAUCCUGGAGCUCAACUCCAGAACUGCCUUCGAUACUGGCGAUCUUGAGUCCGGGAGAGGUGAGUGGAACUCCGAGUGUAGAGGUGAAAUUCGUAGAUAUUCGGAAGAACACCAGUGGCGAAGGCGGCUCACUGGCCCGGUACUGACGCUGAGGUGCGAAAGCGUGGGGAGCAGACAGG